rnacentral:lncRNA from 1 species
UGUCUCUGCCUUUCAGAAUUUUGUGACCUUUUUCACAUCAGCGCCUUGUUGUCAUUAAUGUGAUCCUUUCAGGAUUCUUUUUGAAAAAAAAAAUUUAUUGAGGUAGAGUUGAUUUGCAAUGUUGUAUUCAUGUCAGGUACACAGCCAAGUGAAUCAGUCAGACCCAUAAAUAUACCCAUUCUUUUUUCCCAUAUACAGGUUGUUACUCCUUCUUGUCUUUAAAUUUCAGGGUGACUACUACCUCCUACUAAAACGACACCAUCUGUGGUGAAACGCACAGUUUCUUGCUCAUUCUUAAGGUCUCAACCUCAAUAUUACUUCUAGGAAGCCUUCUCUGGACAAACUCCUUUCUUUUUUCCAGCUUUACUGAGAAAUAAUUGACAAAAUCAUAAGAUGUUUAAAGUUGCUAUAUGUGUACACUGUAAAAAGGACCCUUCUCAUCUAGUUAAUCAGCUCCAUCUCUCCCUCUGUAUGUAUAUGUACAUGUACAUAUAUUUGGUGACAAUGUUUAAAUUUUAUUCUCUGAGCAAAUUUUAUUUAUACCACACAGUGUCACCACCAUAGUCACUAUGUUAUACAUCUGAUCCUUAGACCUUAUCUGUCUUCUAGCUUAAGUCUGCACCUUUUUACCAACCUCUUCUUAUUUCUCCCACUCCCCAACCACUGGCAAUCCCUUUUUUACUCUCCAUUAUAAGUUUGAUCUUUUUUUCAUAUUCCAUACACAGUUACAAGUGACACUACGCAGUAUUUCUCUUUCUCUGUCUGGCUUAUUUCACUUAGCAUAAGGCCCUCAAGGUCCAUCCAUGUGGUCACAAAUGGCAGGAUUUCCUUCUUUCUUAUGGCUAAAUGAUGCUCCAUUGGCUCCAUUCAUCCAUGAAUGGACACCUGGGUUGUUGCCAUAUCUUGGCUAUUGUGAAUACUGCUGAAUGAAUGUGGGAGCUUAGAUACAUAUUCGAUGUCCUUUUCCACUGCCUUUGUAUAUAUAGCCAGAUGAGGAACUGUUGGAUCCUGUGACAGUUCUAUAACUAACGUUUAUUGAUUGGAUGCCAUAUGCCAAGCAGAGUUCCAAUCGUGUGACACAUGUCAAUUCAAAUGAUGCUCUCAACCCUCUAAAGUCGGUGGUAUUUUGAUCAUCAUCUCCGUUGCAUCUGAGAUAAAGGAAGAGGUUUUAAUCACCACGCAAGGCUGCACAGAGGAAGCAGCAGAGCCAGGCCUUCACCUGAAAGACGCUUGUUCCAGAGCCCAUGUUCACAACACAGAGCACCUUCCACUGGGGUGUUUGUGCUCCACAGACCCUUGGGCACACUCAGAGGGAGCAGACUGCCCACAGUCAGGCUAGGAGUUAGCAGAAAGGCCAGGGAAGCAUGAGGCAGACCAAGCAGAUGAAGAGAGGUGGGGGAGCUCCACCCCUUGGAGGAAAUGUUAUCACACAACAAAUAGCAAAGCAAUUAUACAAUCCCUCCCCUCCCUCUCAUCUUCAUUCAUAACACAAAAUAAGUGAGUCAGUGAAUGCAGCAUGAAGGCAAAUAAUAACAGAAAAACUGAAAAAUUAAAGCGUCUGCAAGAGGGAGAAGAAGCACUGGAUCAGGGAAAAUAUUGUAACACAGCCCCUCGUCUCCGAAUGAUCGGUUCUCCCAUCUCCACUGAGCAGCUGGCCGGACUUUUCACAGAGCUUGCAGAAGGGAUUGCGAAAUCCGCUCAUAUUCCUUUAGAGAUCAAGGAGAACUAGAGAUGCUGGAAAGCCAGAGCUCACCGAAAUUUUGGAACUAUUAAAAGGGGAGAAAGCUAGAUUUCAGAAUUUACAGCCAGCUAUGUUAGAAAAGAAUGUCAAAAGUGUUAAAAAUUAGUACUGCUAAGAAAUGUCCUAUGUAUAAUCCACAGGCAUGUUACAAACUACUAAAUGCUUCAUUUGCAAAAAUUUCAUUCAUUCCAAAAACAGUUCCCGAAUACAGUGCUAUGGGCCUCCAUGAAACUUACAUGUUGAGUCAGGGGUGGAUACAAGUAACAAAUAAUUGCAUAUAUGCAGAAAUAUACAACAGGUCAGGUAUGAGAGGAAGCAUCCAAGAUGUGGGCAAGAGAUGGUCUCUGAUGAGGCAAAUGUUGAGAAGAGAACUUCUGAGAAGAAAGCGAGAUGCUGGAGCAUGUGGGGAAAAGCAUGAGGCGGUUGGAAGGGCAAGUGCAAUGGUCUGGAGGUGGGAGGGGCCUGGCGAGUUCCCAGAACAGGAAGGAGGCCCAGGUGGCUGGAGUGGAGUGAAGGAGGAGGCAAGUAUCUCAGAUGACAACUGAGAAGGGACAGAGGCCCUGAUUCUGCACGUGGGACCUCUGGGCUACUGUGAAAGCUUAGCUGAUAUGGUGAGGGAGGUGGGAGGCCUUGAAAGGUGUGACCAGAGCAAUGACAUGACCUCAGGUUUGCAUUAACCACAUCACUGUCGUUGUUUUGUAGAAAGUGUGGUAUGGGGGUGCGGAGCAGAGAGAGCAACUAUAAGGCUUCCGCAAUGAUAUUCCCUCUCCCCUCUCCCUUCAGAGCAAGAUGCUUGUCUUGUUCAUGUUGUCUGUUUUUGUUUGGGGUGUUCUGGCCACUCCUGCAGCACCCAGAAAUUCCCAGGCCAGGGAUCGAACCCAUCAUAUAGCAGUGACCUGAGCUACAGCAGUGACAAUGCCAGAUCCUUAACCCACUGAGCCACCAGGGAACUCCAGGUCUUGCUCUCAUCAAUACUCCUCUUGCCGAGCAUGGUUUCUGGCCUAAUAAUCAUAAUAAUGAUGGCAGACUGCAAUCUCUGGCAAUGGCAGCCAUACCAGUCAUACACCUGGUACAGGGGAGGAAUCACACACUUGUCCAUAUUAAAAACAGUUCAUGGUAAGAGUCUCCCAAGGGGUGACAGAAAGCAGGCAAAUGGAAAGGGGCACCAUUUCAAACCUCAGUUCACACAGAAUAUAUGCUUUGCCUGCUGCCACUUUCCUUAAAACCCAUAAGCAAAUCCUACUCUCCCAUCCACUCAUGUGGGUCCAGAUGGGCAUGCAAAACUGGGCUUGGAAAUUGAGACCCUGUCUUGUUUGCAUCUGUGAUGCCAGGCCCUGGCCCUCUGGGGACCUGUUGUUACAGAAACACCUGGGUUUAUUAAAAGCUUCUGCACC